UACGAAGGGGGCUAGCGUUGCUCGGAAUUACUGGGCGUAAAGGGCGCGUAGGCGGGUCGUUAAGUUGGGGGUGAAAGCCCGGGGCUCAACCCUGGAAUUGCCUUCAAUACUGGCGACCUUGAGUAUGGCAGAGGUGUGUGGAACUCCGAGUGUAGAGGUGAAAUUCGUAGAUAUUCGGAAGAACACCAGUGGCGAAGGCGACACACUGGGCCAUUACUGACGCUGAGGCGCGAAAGCGUGGGGAGCAAACAGG
rnacentral:rRNA from 1 species